AGCGAACGCUGGCGGCAGGCCUAACACAUGCAAGUCGAACGAACUCUUCGGAGUUAGUGGCGGACGGGUGAGUAACACGUGGGAACGUGCCUUUAGGUUCGGAAUAACUCAGGGAAACUUGUGCUAAUACCGAAUGUGCCCUUCGGGGAAAGAUUUAUCGCCUUUAGAGCGGCCCGCGUCUGAUUAGCUAGUUGGUGAGGUAAAGGCUCACCAAGGCAACGAUCGGUAGCUGGUCUGAGAGGAUGACCAGCCACAUUGGGACUGAGACACGGCCCAAACUCCUACGGGAGGCAGCAGUGGGGAAUCUUGCGCAAUGGGCGAAAGCCUGACGCAGCCAUGCCGCGUGGAUGAUGAAGGUCUUAGGAUUGUAAAAUCCUUUCACCGGUGAAGAUAAUGACUGUAGCCGGAGAAGAAGCCCCGGCUAACUUCGUG
rnacentral:rRNA from 1 species